rnacentral:rRNA from 1 species
UAUAAGAGACAGCAGUAGCCGCGGUAAUACGUAGGUGGCAAGCGUUGUCCGGAAUUAUUGGGCGUAAAGCGCGCGCAGGCGGUUUCUUAAGUCUGAUGUGAAAGCCCCCGGCUUAACCGGGGAGGGUCAUUGGAAACUGGGAGACUUAGAGUGCAGAAGAGGAGAGUGGAAUUCCAUGUGUAGCGGUGAAAUGCGUAGAUAUAUGGAGGAACACCAGUGGCGAAGGCGACUCUCUGGUCUGUAACUGACGCUGAGGCGCGAAAGCGUGGGGAGCAAACAGGAUUAGAGACCCGUGUAGUCCCUGUCUCUUAUA